rnacentral:rRNA from 1 species
GACGAACGCUGGCGGCGUGCUUAACACAUGCAAGUCGAACGAAGAGCGAUGGAAGCUUGCUUCUAUCAAUCUUAGUGGCGAACGGGUGAGUAACGCGUAACCAACCUGCCCUUCAGAGGGGGACAACAGUUGGAAACGACUGCUAAUACCGCAUACGAUCUAAUCUCGGCAUCGAGGAUAGAUGAAAGGUGGCCUCUACAUGUAAGCUAUCACUGAAGGAGGGGAUUGCGUCUGAUUAGCUAGUUGGAGGGGUAACGGCCCACCAAGGCGAUGAUCAGUAGCCGGUCUGAGAGGAUGAACGGCCACAUUGGGACUGAGACACGGCCCAGACUCCUACGGGAGGCAGCAGUGGGGAAUCUUCCGCAAUGGACGAAAGUCUGACGGAGCAACGCCGCGUGAGUGAUGACGGCCUUCGGGUUGUAAAGCUCUGUUAAUCGGGACGAAAGGCCUUCUUGCGAAUAGGGAGAAGGAUUGACGGUACCGGAAUAGAAAGCCACGGCUAACUACGUG